rnacentral:rRNA from 1 species
AUGACAAAGUUUUGGUGGAGUGGUUCCCUUGAUCGCAACUCAUUGCAUUGGGUGGCAUGGGACAAACUUGCAUCUCCAAAAGCCCGAGGUGGCAUGGGUUUUCGUGAUCUGGAAUUGUUCAAUUUGGCGCUACUAGGCAAAAAUGGAUGGAGAUUUAGUACAAAUCUCAAUUCUCUAUGUGCAAGGGUCAUGAAGGGGUGCUACUUUCCCGAUUGUGAGUUUAUGGAAGCUUCCGUUCCACAAUCUGCUUCUGCGAUUUGGCGAGCCAUUGUGGCAGGUAGGGAAGCACUCACAGUAGGUUUGAUCAAAAGAGUGGGUGAUGGAGCUACCAUAUCUAUAUGGGAGGAUCGUUGGAUCCCGGGUAUAUCGACUUUGUCCCCUUCGGUCAUACCUGGGGGUAUAACACUUGGCACUGUUGAUUAA